AGUUUUAAAGCAUCUUUCCUUUGCAGUGAGCAAAAUGUAAACCUUUCUCAGUAGAGGGCGCUAGUGGGACACUGUGGCUCUCUGCUCCUGUUUUCUCACCCACCUUCGUGCAAUCCCAGGGUCAGGCCAAUCAGCCUCUUCCAGGCUUCACUGAUUGGCUCAGGAGUGGGCGGGGUCUAAGCUGCUCCAGUCAGAGCAGAUCUCAGGAUUUAGGGAGGAGCUGUGCAAAAGAUGCCUGGGUCUUUCCUGUGGGACUUACACUUGAGAGGACGAAAGUCUGGGUUUCUGCAGCCCUGUUAUCACCAUGAGGGGAGUCUUGAGUGGCCAGGAAUCACCAUGGGAACAAGAGUGGAGCCAACAGAGCAGAAAUUGUAAGAUGGAGAGAAACUGACUCCUCAUGACACAGCGUAGCUGCAGCUGCCACGGCUGCGGCCUUUUCAGUUAUGCACUUUGCUGCAUGAUCUCACUCACUCCUUCCUGUCCCCACUCGGCCCUGACAGGAAAAGUCAGCAUCAUCUCCAUUUUCCAGAUCUAAAGUGUCCCUCAAAAGUCUUUGUUUUUGGAAGGUGCUUGCAUCGUGGAGCGCUGUACUUCUGAGUGGAUUCAUCUGUUGGUGAGUUCCUGGCUGAAAUGCUGUUAGGGGGUGGGGCCUGGUUGGAGGUGGUCACUGGGGGCACCGCCUGCAAGGGGUAUUCUUGUCCCUGACUCCUCCCUCCUCUCACUUCUUCCUAGUCUCCACAAGGUGAGCUGCUUUCC
ensembl:lncRNA